rnacentral:rRNA from 1 species
AUACCAGCACCCCGAGUGGUCGGGACGAUUAUUUGGCCUAAAGCAUCCGUAGCCGGUUUUACAAGUCCUCCGUUAAAUCCAGCUGCUUAACAGAUGGGCCGCGGAGGAUACUAUAGGACUAGGAGGCGGGAGAGGCAAGCGGUACUCAGUGGGUAGGGGUAAAAUCCUUUGAUCCAUUGAAGACCACCAGUGGCGAAGGCGGCUUGCCAGAACGCGCUCGACGGUGAGGGAUGAAAGCUGGGGGAGCAAACCGGAUUAGAUACCCGGGUAGUCCCAGCUGUAAACGAUGCAGACUCGGUGAUGGGCUAGCCUUGUGCCAGCCCAGUGCCGCAGGGAAGCCGUUAAGUCUGCCGCCUGGGGAGUACGGUCGCAAGACUGAAACUUAAAUGAAUUGGCGGGG